GAUGAACGCUGGCGGCGUGCCUAAUACAUGCAAGUCGAGCGAACAGACGAGGAGCUUGCUCCUCUGACGUUAGCGGCGGACGGGUGAGUAACACGUGGAUAACCUACCUAUAAGACUGGGAUAAUUUCGGGAAAACGGAGCUAAUACCGGCUCAUAUAUUGAACCGGAUGGUUCAAUAGUGAAAGACGGCUUUGCUGUCACUUUUAGAUGGUUCCGCGCCGCAUUAGCUAGUUGGUAAGGUAACGGCUUACCAAGGCAACGAUGCGUAGCCGACCUGAGAGGGUGAUCGGCCACACUGGAACUGAGACACGGUCCAGACUCCUACGGGAGGCAGCAGUAGGGAAUCUUCCGCAAUGGGCGAAAGCCUGACGGAGCAACGCCGCGUGAGUGAUGAAGGUCUUCGGAUCGUAAAACUCUGUUAUUAGGGAAGAACAAAUGUGUAAGUAACUAUGCACGUCUUGACGGUACCUAAACAGAAAGCCACGGCUAACUACGUG
rnacentral:rRNA from 1 species